rnacentral:tRNA from 1 species
GCACGCGUAGCUCAAUGGUAGAGCAUUCGCCUUAUACGCGACUGGUUCUAGGUUCGAGUCCUAGCGCGUGCA